rnacentral:rRNA from 1 species
AGCAGCCGCCACGGUAAUACGUAGGCAGCAAGCGUUGUUCGGAGUUACUGGGCGUAAAGGGUGCGUAGGCGGUCCUAUAAGUAUGGUGUGAAAUCUCCCGGCUUAACUGGGAGGGUGCGCUAUAGACUGUGGGACUAGAGUGUGGGAGAGGAAAGUGGAAUUCCUGGUGUAGCGGUGAAAUGUGUAGAUAUCAGGAGGAACACCGGUGGUGUAAACGGCUUUCUGGACCAUAACUGACGCUGAGGCACGAAAGCGUGGGUAGCAAACAGGAUUAGAUACCCCAGUAGUCCCUGUCUCUUAUAC